CCUACGGGUGGCAGCAGUGAGGAAUAUUGGUCAAUGGACGAGAGUCUGAACCAGCCAAGUAGCGUGAAGGAUGACUGCCCUAUGGGUUGUAAACUUCUUUUAUAAAGGAAUAAAACGAGGCACGUGUGCCUUUUUGCAUGUACUUUAUGAAUAAGGAUCGGCUAACUCCGUGCCAGCAGCCGCGGUAAUACGGAGGAUCCGAGCGUUAUCCGGAUUUAUUGGGUGUAAAGGGAGCGUAGAUGGGUUGUUAAGUCAGUUGUGAAAGUUUGCGGCUCAACCGUAAAAUUGGAAUUGAUACUGGCAGUCGUGAGUACAGUUGAGGUAGGCGGAAUUCGUGGUGUAGCGGUGAAAUGCUUAGAUAUCACGAAGAACCCCGAUUGCGAAGGCAGCUUACUAAACUGUGACUGACAUUGAUGCUCGAAAGUGUGGGUAUCAAACAGGAUUAGAUACCCCAGUAGUC
rnacentral:rRNA from 1 species